CGAGAAUCAGUUCAUCAGUUCAAGUGAAAUGGAUCCAGUUGUCUGCAGAGAAAAGUGUGAAAAUCAUGAGCUUGUGUGCACAACAGUAUCAUCUUUUGGACAAGUGCAUCCAGUGUGUGGGACCUGUAUCCUCCUUCAAGUGGCUUGGCUAUAAGUGCAAAGCUUGUUUGGGGGUCUGGCAUAAAACAUGCCUUAAGCGAAUUACAGAUGACUACCACCGCUAUUCACAGG